rnacentral:tRNA from 1 species
CAAAUUUAAUCUAAGAAGAUUAGAUUUUUAUUUACAAUAAAAUUUAAAUUGUGCGAUUCAAUUAAAUUUGA